UACGUAGGUGGCAAGCGUUGUUCGGAAUUAUUGGGCGUAAAGGGCGCGUAGGCGGCCUACUAAGUCGGACGUGAAAUCCCGGGGCUCAACCUCGGAAACUGCAUUCGAUACUGCUUUGCUGGAGUACUGGAGAGGAGAUUGGAAUUUACGGUGUAGCAGUGAAAUGCGUAGAUAUCGUAAGGAAGACCAGUGCGAAGCGGAUCUCU
rnacentral:rRNA from 1 species